rnacentral:lncRNA from 1 species
AAAUCUUCUUUCUUCUCAGAUAUUCCCAAACUCUUCCAUAGUCAAAGAAUCAUGUCUAACCCCCAAAUUCUGGCACUCCCCUACCAGCAUUUCCCUCGAACACAUCCUCAUCUACUCCUCCUAUUGAAUCCCCAAAACCAAAGGUUCGUAGUUAGAAAAUGUUGACUAGAAAAACUGUAACAUCUGGAGCCCUAAGUAAAGUUCUAGAUGAGAAAUUUAAGGCUAACCAAAAGAAAGCAAGCCCUGUACACGAAUCUGACUCUAGCUAUAAGUCUGAAGAUUUUAUUUUUGCCAGUGAAGGUAAAGAACAUGGGUCUUCUGACGCUGAGAAAAUUAAAGAAACCCCUGGUGAGGUAAGUUCUUGUGUAGUAUUUUCUAAUGUGGUUGAAAGCACUGAAAAUAGGUUUGUUCUAGUUGGUCCUAUUAAAGAUGUAAAGGUGACUGAAUCAAGUAGGAGUGGAGGUAAAAAGAAAGGAAAAGAGAGAGAAUGAGCGAGUGGUGAUGAGAGGCAUAAUGGGAAAGAAAAGGUUCUUGCUAUCUGUGGGAGUGUUGAAGAGAGUGGUAUCAAGUCAGGGGGGAGUGUUUCUAGGGAAGCAGUUGAAGGGCUUGUUCAUCUAAGCAAGCAACAAGAAGAACCUGUUUCAUCUGCUAAGGAAACUCUGGCUGAUCUUCUGAAAAAGGUUGGGACAAUCUAUGAUCCAAAGAAGUGCAAGGCUUCUUCUCAAAAAGCUCCAACUACUUCCCAGUCAACCAAGAAAAGUAAAAUUUCAUCCCCAAAACCUAUUGUCCCUUCAGUGCCUUAGGGAAAAGCUACUAGAAGCAUGGUCAAGAAAGUGAAGCAGAGUUACAGAAAGCCCUGGAAGAAAGCAGGAACAAGAAGAAGGUGAAGAGAAAAGCAAAGGUUGUAGAAGGUUCCGAGGCAACAUAAGAAGAAGAAAAGAUGGACCUAGGCCAUCAAGAAAGGGGAACAACUAUAUAAGUUCCUACUCCCACACCUAAGAGGUCCAAGACUUCCUGUAAGAAUUCCUCAUCUGAACCUGCGUCUAUUGAAUCCUCUUUAGCCAAAAGAACUAGGUCUGCUUUGAAGGUUAUGCAAAAGAAAAUUGUUGAAGAAGAUGAAGAGUGGAGUGGUGGAGAAGAAGAAGAGGAAUCUGAGAAAAACAAGACAGGUUUUCCAUCUUUGGCAGAAGAAAAUUUUUGAAAGGAAGACUAUUAAGUUACCUGGAUGAGCCAAGUAUGAGAAGAUUGGUGGUACCUUGGCUGCACAAGGUUAGAAGGACUUGGUCCUUGAGAUGGAUGGAAGGCUGGCUAGGAAUGAACUGAUUGAGUUUAUGGCCAAUGCCACUGUAAAAAAUAGGAUAGUCUCCAGCCUUAUGAAGGGUGAAAAUGUGGAGUUUUAUGUAAUCCAACUGGGUGAGAUUCUGGACAUACCUAGUGAAUGGUACAAUGAUUAUACAAGGCAACGGUGGCCAUGCCUAGAUUCUUUCCCUACUGCUCUUCAAAUCACUAGGAAUUUUUGUGAUGCUGCAACUGCUAAAGAUGUACCUACAGUUAGGUUUGUGCAGAAAAGUGAGAUGAGACCUGAGCACAAGGUCUUGGUUUAAUUUGUUAACAAGUGUCUGCUGCCUAGACAAGAAAGGAGACAUACUGCCAACUACAUGGCCAGGUUCUUAUGGAGUGCCUUGUGAUAGGAAUACAGAUAAAUUUUCCUGCUUUCAUUGUCACAGGGUCAUUAAUGGCUUCAAGGCACAUGCAACUCCAUAUGGGUUCAUACUGACUACUGUGCUGGGCAUAAUAAGGGUGCCUUUGAAGAAAUGGGAGAUGGCAUCAAGCAAGGAGCAUUUUGGUGUUAAGACCUUAUUGGCUUGUCACUAUCCUGUCAAUGCCAUCCCAGUUGAACCUGGUUCAUCUCUAAAGACACAUGUGAAUAGCAAAUUUAGGGCUUUGGUUUAAGAAUGUGGAACUAAGGAUGCUGAAAAUAAAUGUCAUCCCAGUUGAACUUGGUUCAUCUCUAAAGACACCUGUGAAUAGCAAGAAUAGGGCUUUGGUUCAAGAGUGUGGAACUAAGGAUGCUGAAAUUGCUAGGCUUCAGGCUCGUAUUGUAGAAUUAGAAACUGAAAGAGAUGGCCUUAGAGUUGUGCUAGCAAAAGAAAAGGAGAAUAUUGAUGGGAUACUUCAUAAUAUGUUUAACCUUCUCCAAACUCAUCCCUAUAGUUCCUCCAAGCCUUAGGUCCUACAUUGUUGUCUUCUGAACCAAUCUAG